rnacentral:rRNA from 1 species
GCCUACGACCAUAUCACCCUGAAUGCGCCCGAUCUCAUCUGAUCUCGGAAGCUAAGCACGGUUCGAGUCUGGUUAGUACUUGCAUGGGAGACUGCCUGGGAAUACCAGGUGUUGUAGGCU